AUGAAUGAAGCUCUACUGGCACCGUAUAUGGAGGAAGAAGUGAAACACUCCCUGUUCAGCAUUGGUGAUUUGAAAGCGUCGGGGCCAGAUGGCCUACACGCGAUUUUUAAAAACAAUUGGCACCUAUUGGGAGAUGAUUUAGUAAAGGAAGUGCUGGAGGCGGUGAAUAGUGGAAUUAUACCUGAAGGCUGGAAUACCACAACUAUUGUGCUAAUCCCAAAGGUUGAUGUUCCAGAGAAGGUUUCCUAGUUCAGGCCUAUAAGUCUAUGCAACGUUGUUUAUAAGGUGAUAGCAAAAAUGUUGGCAGCAAGACUGAAGGUGUUCCUCCCUGACAUCAUUAGUGAGACACAAAGUGCCUUUGUACCUGGUCGGAUCAUUACAGACAAUGUGAUCAUUGCAUAUGAAUGUCUCCAUACUAUGAAAAAGAAGAAGAAGGGGAAGGUUGGGAAUUGUGCAGUAAAACUUGAUAUGCAUAAGGCCUAUGACAGGGUCGAAUGGGUAUUCCUAAAGGCUAUACUUGGCAGACUGGGAUUUGAUGAAAGACGGGUUGAUCUUAUUAUGGCAUGUGUGACAUCAGUGUAGUAUAAAGUGAGAUUUAACUCAAAUGAGACUGCAACAUUUUCUCCCACGAGAGGUUUGAGACAAGGGGAUCCCCUGUCUCCCUACCUCUUUCUCUUAUGUGCAGUGGGGCUUUCAAAUUUAAUUUCCUUUGAGGAAACAGCGGGUAACCUCAAGAGUGUCCAAGUGUGUCGUGACUCCCCUACCAUAUCUCACUUACUUUUUGCUGACGACUCCUUGAUCCUCAUCAGAGCAGAUGCGGAUAAUGCGAGCACUUUAAAAAGGGUUUUGGAUGAGUACUAUUCGGCUUCAGGACAAUUGGUGAGUGCGGCAAAAUCAUUGAUAUACUUCAGCCCCAAUACUGAUGUUGAUCGGAAAGUGGAGGUGUGCCAGAUAUUGGACAUCAUGACAGAAUCUCUCUCUGAUAAGUACUUGGGUCUCCCUUCCAUGAUUGGGGUAGACAGUGUCGACUAUUUAAAGAAUACUAUUGAGAGGAUCCAGAAGAUGAUAAAUGGGAAGGAAAGAAAACUAUCUUAUGGUGGUAAGGAAUCAUUGAUCAAAGCGGUGGCCCAGGCCAUUCCUACGUAUGCGAUGAGUGUGUUCAAAUUCCCGAAAAAAAUCUGCAAGGGUAUCAUUGACGCCAUUUCGCAUUACUGGUGGGGUGACAAGGAAAACCAAUGAAAGAUGCAUUGGUUCGCUUGGUGGAAGUUGUGCAUUCCGAAGGAAAGAGGUGGUAUGGGUUUCCGUGAUAUACACAGUUUUAGUUUGGCGCUUCUAGCUAAGCAGUGCUGGAGACUUAUUGAGCAUCAUGACUCGCUAUAUGUGAGGAUUUUGCGUGCGGAAUAUUACCCAAAUGGUGAAUUACUAAACUGUUGUUUGAAGAAAGGUUCUUCCUAUGUGUGGCAGAGUAUUUGGGCGGGAGCUCCUACUUACAAGAAAGGAAGCAUUUGGAGGGUGGGUAAUGGCCUUAAAAUAAGUAUAUGGGAGGACUGCUGGGUGCCGAACAACUCCUCUAGGAAAAUUGUCACUACAUGCGGAAAUAGAGUGCUUACCCAAGUUAAUGAACUUAUUGAUCCAGUAUCCAGAGAGUGGGAUGAGAAUCUUAUCAGAGAAAUUUUUUGGCCCAUUGAUGUUGACCGCAUACUACAAAUUACAUUGCAUCAGGAUGAUACGAGGAUUAUGUGGCAUGGCACUUGA
rnacentral:rRNA from 1 species